AUACGGAGGGUGCAAGCGUUAUUCGGAAUCACUGGGCGUAAAGGACGCGUAGGCGGGUUGGCAAGUCAGAUGUGAAAUCCUACAGCUUAACUGUAGAACUGCAUUUGAAACUGCUAACCUAGAGUAUGGGAGGGGGAGAUGGAAUUAGUGGUGUAGGGGUAAAAUCCGUAGAUAUCGCUAGGAAUACCGAAAGCGAAGGCGAUCUCCUGGAACAUAACUGACGCUAAGGCGUGAAAGCGUGGGGAGCAAACAGGAUUAGAAACCCUAGUAGUCC
rnacentral:rRNA from 1 species